rnacentral:tRNA from 1 species
GGAAGGUAGUGCCCAGCGGUGGGCAACCGGUCUCGAAAGCCGGGCCGUCGGUAACGGCGGGGGUUCGACUCCUCUACCUUCCUCCA